rnacentral:rRNA from 1 species
ACGGCCAUACCGUGCUGAAUAUACCGGUUCUCAUUAGAUCACCGAAGUCAAGCAUCAUUGGGCACGUUCAGUACUUGGGUGGGUGACCACCUGGGAACACCGCGUGCCGUU